GACGAACGCUGGCGGCGUGCUUAACACAUGCAAGUCGAGCGGUAAGGCCCUUUCGGGGUACGACGAGCGGCGAACGGGUAGAGUAACACGUGGGUGACCUGCCUUUAGUCUCUGGGAGUAAGCCUGGGAAACGUAGGGUCGUAAUACCGGAUAUGACUCCGCGGUGCAUGCUGUGGGGUGGAAAGCCUUGUGCGGCUGGAGAUGGGCCCGCGG
rnacentral:rRNA from 1 species